UUGGUUCAGUAUAAUGGAAUUGUAAUGGAUUGGACCGGUCAAUUUUGUUCACACCUUAUAUAUACCAAAUAUAUCUUCACUCUCCCAGGCUUGUCGUCUUCUUCACAGCAUUGCUCCUUGGAUGGUGUUGUGGUGGUGGUGGUGGUGGAUGGGUCUCAUUAGACGAAGACCAGGAGAAAAAGCCCAGCUCAUGGAAGCCCAGCCCAGCUAUUUCUUCCAUGGUUAUUGUUAUGGAAUUGGCUAAUUGUUCCUCUGAAUUUGGCACUUCUGCUAUGGUUAUAGUCUGUGCCCCGCUGCCAUCAUGUAUGUGUUUGCGAAGGUUGAGCCGGGUUUUGACUUGGUGGUGGAAGAGAACGAGUUUGGGAAUCUUUCAUGUUUUUUGACAUGCUUGUGGCAUCCCAACUUUCUCAGCAAAAGGAGUUCAAUUUUGAGAAAGCCAUCAUCUUACAUUUACGACUUGCUUCUUUUUGGGUUUUUGCCAUUCCCUAAGACUGCAUUGCAUUACAACUUGAAAAUUCAACAUAUGGAUUAUUGGACAAAUUCCUUCCAGUGAUGAAGUGGCCUAAUUUGGAUCAUCGAACACUGCUGGAAUGAUUGCAGUUACAUGAUUUUGUUGAGUGCAAUGUUCAAGGAGAUGGCAACUGUCAGGAAGAGGAAUUUACAUUCUGUACGAGGAUGUUAAAUCUUGCCCCUAAGAGGAUGUGCAUGUUCUGUGGUCCAUAGUAGUGAGUCAAACAAACCUUCUUAUGCAAUCAGCAGUGUGAAAGCACUUGUGCAGAGUUCCUCCCUCGCUCGAUUUGGGUCAGACCUUGAUGCUGCAACUCGGGCAUUAUCAAGUAGAUUUGGGUCAGACCUUGAAGCUGCAACUCAGGCAUUAUCAAAGUGAAUGGCUGCAUGCAGGACUUUUGAUGAUCAAUUUGCAAGGCAAACGCUGGCAAAAACCAACCCUGUCAUUUUUUUUGUGGUGUUUGGGUAAUAUUAAUUUUCCAUUAACAAUGAUCAAUUUAAUUUCUUUUCAUUUCCAAAUGUAAAUAUUGAUUUUUAUUAUCUUAAGGUUUCGAAUUGAAAUGGAGAUUGAAAUUUGAAUGUUCAAGUUGAAAGUUAACCCGAUAAGUUGAAAUUUGGUA